rnacentral:rRNA from 1 species
CAUGGAGGGUGAGAAUCCCGUUCAUGGUUAAUCUUAAGGAUGCUCUACGAUACGUUCUCCAAGAGUCGAGUUGUUUGGGAUUGCAGCUCAAAAUGGGAGGUAAAUUUCUCCUAAGGCUAAAUAUUGGCGAGAGACCGAUAGCGAACAAGUACCGUGAGGGAAAGAUGAAAAGAACUUUGAAAAGAGAGUUAAACAGUACGUGAAAUUGUUGAAAGGGAAACGAUUGAAGUCAGUCAUACUAACGGGAAAUCAACCUCUUGAGUUUGGUCUCGUGGGUUUCGAAGAGUUUUAAAAGCCUUCGGAUUUUCGAGAUUGGGCUCUUCUGGUGUACUUUCUCGUACGGUUAGUCAACAUCGGUUUUGAAUGUCAUAAAAUGACUGGAGGAAUGUGGCUUCGAUCUCGUAUUGAAGUGUUAUAGCCUUUGGUAGAUGUGAUGUUUGAGACCGAGGAUUGCAACGGAUACCCUUCUGGGCUAUUCGUCUGAUCUCUGAAACGUUGCCUUGAUGUCGAAAGCUUGCUUAUGAUGUUAGGGUAUUACGGUCAAAAGGUUAGAACGGAUUAAAUUCGUUAAGGAUGUUGACGUAAUGG